AUUUGUUAUGCAAGACAAUACAAUUCGGUAUUUUGUUGUUGUUGUUGUUUUUGUAAUACUGUGUAUUACAAGGUAAUUACAUAUUUGUUAUGUUUUUUUUACAUAACUUGACUCCUGGCACACCAAUGGCCAAGGGUUCUUUAGAAAGGUGAUGAAGAAUAUUCACACACACACACACCAUACCUGUGAGGUCACAGUUCAAAGUUGAAAGUUCAUCUUGGUCCGUCAACUGUACUGUAAUAUCUAUGUUCACAUACAAUAUAUCAUUCGACUUAGAUGUAGUCGACAUUAUCAUCCAAUGCGGAAAUAUAAUCUGUUGUAUUUGUAUUGCCAUAUCACAGGGUAAAUAAUCAAUUUUAACAAGAACAAGCGUCCCCAAAGCCAUACAUUACAAUAUAUAUGCAUGUGUAUGUAUAUAUAUAUAUAGUUUCGGAAAAAAUUAAGAGACCACUGCACUGUUUUCUUUCCUUUCCAAGCAAGUUGUAAAGGGAAAUUUUGAGUCAGGAACAGAAGCGUGUCUUAAUUUUAACCCUUCUGUUCCUCACUCAAAACCUUCCAUUUCAACUUUUUGGUGAAGGAAAGAAAAAUGUGCAGUGGUCUCUUAAUUUUAUCCGGAGCUGUAUGUGUAUAUAUAAAUACACGUGCGCACACACAAACACCGUAGCAGUCAAGAGUUUGGACACACCUUCUCAUUCAAGAGUAUUUCUUUAAUUUUACUAUUUACCACAUUGUAGAAUAAUAGUAAAAACUAUGAAACUACACACGUGGAACCAUUUAGUAACCAAAAAAGUGUUAAACAAAUCAAAAUCAAAAUCCAUUUCCAUUUUAAUUUAAGCAGUCCAUUGACUUGAUAACAGCUUCUCACCCUCUUGGAAUUCUCUCAACCAGCUUUACGAGGUAGUGACCUGGAAGGCUUUUCCAACAGCCUUGAAGGAAUCGUCGUAUAUGCUGAGCACUCUGUGACCCAACUCAUUAGGGGGUGAGGAGGGGUGGUUGUGGAGGCCAGGUCAUCUGAUGCAGCAUCAUCAAUCACCUUCUUGGUCAAAUAUCCCUUACACAGACAGAGGUGUGUUUUGGUCAAAUAUCCCUUAAACAGACAGAGGUGUGUUUGGUCAAAUAUCCCUUAAACAGAUGGAGGUGUGUUUUGGUCAAAUAUCCCUUAAACAGAUGGAGGUGUGUUUUGGUCAAAUAUCCCUUACACAGAUGGAGGUGUGUUUUGGUCAAAUAUCCCUUACACAGAUGGAGGUGUGUUUUGGUCAAAUAUCCCUUACACAGAUGGAGGUGUGUUUUGGUCAAAUAUCCCUUAAACAGAUGGAGGUGUGUUUUGGUCAAAUAUCCCUUAAACAGAUGGAGGUGUGUUUUGGUCAAAUAUCCCUUAAACAGAUGGAGGUGUGUUUUGGUCAAAUAUCCCUUAAACAGAUUGAGGUGUGUUUGGUCAAAUAUCCCUUAAACAGAUGGAGGUGUGUUUUGGUCAAAUAUCCCUUAAACAGAUUGAGGUGUGUUUGGUCAAAUAUCCCUUACACAGAUGGAGGUGUGUUUUGGUCAAAUAUCCCUUACACAGAUGGAGGUGUGUUUUGGUCAAAUAUCCCUUACACAGAUGGAGGUGUGUUUUGGUCAAAUAUCCCUUCCACAGACAGAGGUGUGUUUUGCAGAGAUCAUCACAUGCAGACAUCAUAGGUUCACCUGCGCCGCGUUUCACAAAGAUGUGGCUGUUGUAACCAAAAAUCUUCAAUUUAGACUCAUCAGACCGAACAGAUUUUACUGGCAGUCUACUGGCAACUUCUUGUGCUUAUAGGCCCAAGCAAGUUGCUUCUUAUUAGUUGUGUCCUUCAGUAGUGGUUUCUUUGCAGCAAUUCGUCCAUAAAGUUGUUGAGAUGUGUCAGUUACUUGAAGUCUGUUAAGCAUUUAUAUGGGCUGCAAUCUGAGGUGCAUUUAAUUGCCGAUUUCUGAGGCUGGUGACUCUAAUGAACUCAUCCUCUGCAGCAGAUGUAACUCUGGGUUUCCUUGCCUGUGGCAGUCCUCAUGAGAGACAGUUUCAUCAUAGCGCUUGUUGGUUUUUGCAACUGAAGAUUCUUGAAAUUUCUAGGAUUGACCGACCUACAUGUCUUAAAUAAUGAUGGGCUGUUGUUUCUCUUAGUUUAUUUGAGCUGUUCUUGAUAUAAUAUGGAUUACUACAGUACAGACAGAAUGGUGGUCUGUGUACCAACCCAACCUUGUCACAACACAAAUUAUUGGGUCAAAAACAUUAAGGAAAUAAAUUCCACAAAUGAACUUUUAACGAGCCACACCUGUAAUUUGAAAUGCAUUCCAGAUGACUACCUCAUGAAGUUGGUUGACAGAAUGCAAAGAGUGCAAAGCUGUCAUCAAGGCAAAGGGUGGCUACUUUAAAGAAUCUACAUGAAAUGUGUUUUGAUCUGUUAAACACUUUUUUUGGAACACAACCAAUGUGUAUGUUUAUAUGUAUACCUAUAUGUGUAUAUAUAUAUACAUAUAUGUGCAUAAGUGUGUGUGUAUGACUCUUGGCAUGCCCAAUCAACUCAAAUAUGGCCGAAGGUUCCACUUGAAAUCAUUCAAUUUGUUUUGCGCAGUUUGUUUCUGGGUGUAUUUCAUUCCAAUACCCACAAUCCACUGUGCCACGCUCCAAGAGGGUGCCUUUCAGUAAUCUACCUUUGCCUCUUCUUAAGGUCUCCUUUCCCUCAUUCACACUGAUCUGAGUGAACAGGGCAGGUGAAAAGCUAGGCCUGCAUCACACUACUUUAACCAAUCAAAUUUUGUCCGAUAAGUGCAAAUGAAAGAGUGGAGACAAAGGGCUCAAUUCAGACUUGGGAUAAAUUUACUUAAUAUGAACUUAGUCUAUUAAAAUGGGGAUUUAAGUGAAACAAUAUGUGUUCUUUAUCUCAAGUCCAUUUACCUGAAGUCUGAAUAGGACCCACUGGAAGACUGCAGAUGAAUGAAGCACCCCUGAUAUGACUUCCUCUACCUUAGGACCACACAGACUACCUUAGGACCACACAACGACUUCAAAGCCAUGACAAGGGGUUAAUCGAUUAUCUGUGAUUUCAUUUUUUAUUUUUUUGUCUUGAUACUUUCUAGAUUCAAAAUAAUAAAAUGUAUAAAUGGAG
ensembl:lncRNA